UACGUAGGCAGCGAGCGUUGUUCGGAGUUACUGGGCGUAAAGGGUGUGUAGGCGGUUGUUUAAGUUUGGUGUGAAAUCUCCCGGCUCAACUGGGAGGGUGCGCCGAAUACUGAAUGACUUGGAGUGCGGGAGAGGAAAGUGGAAUUCCUGGUGUAGCGGUGAAAUGCGUAGAUAUUGGAAAGACCACCGAUGGCGAAGGCACUCUACUGGGCCAUUACUGACACUGAGAGACGAAAGCUAGGGGAGCAAAUGGG
rnacentral:rRNA from 1 species